UGCUUUUCAAAGAUGAAUCUUGCCUAUCAUUUGGUGGUGAAAAUUGUCCAGUGGGCUAUAUCUUUGCAUCUAAAUAUACAUCUUUCAGUCCUGAAGAAUGGGAGAAUUCCAAGGUCUCUUCCUGACGCUGGCACUGAGCUCACUACAGAAAUCACCUAUGUUAUUCCAGAUGAGACUAACUUCAAAGCUGAGCUAUAGAAUAAUGAGAAGUAACAAUUGUCUGCUAUGAGCCAGUAGUUUUGGAGUGGCUCAGUAAGCAGGAAGAAAGAACGACCCCUUGCGUUAAUCCACCUAGGAUAUGGAGUUCAUUCAUGUUUCAGUGACUUGCCAUGAAGUCCUCCUGCAGAAACCACACUCAGUUUGCCCCUGAAAGUGAGUCAGAUGAAGUCAUUACUAAGAGGAAUUUGCUUGUAUUAACAAAGAGGCCUGGGAACAGAUGGGCACCACCUGACUCAGAAGAGUCUAAUGUACGAUUCACUGUGCUUCACAGGAAAUCAAGCAACAAUGCAGAAGGCGAUGCAGCACCUCAGCAACCAGUCACACACAGUAGGGAAAAUUUACUGAAUCCUGGGUUAAGAAUAUGCCUCUCUCUGAUAAUUGACAUUUGA
rnacentral:lncRNA from 1 species